rnacentral:rRNA from 1 species
UAAAGAAUUUCGGUUAUCGAUGGGGAUGCGUUCCAUUAGUUAGUUGGCGGGGUAACGGCCCACCAAGACGACGAUGGAUAGGGGUUCUGAGAGGAAGGUCCCCCACAUUGGAACUGAGACACGGUCCAAACUCCUACGGGAGGCAGCAGUGAGGAAUAUUGGUCAAUGGACGAGAGUCUGAACCAGCCAAGUAGCGUGAAGGAUGACUGCCCUAUGGGUUGUAAACUUCUUUUAUAUGGGAAUAAAACAGGGUAUGCAUACCCUCUUGUAUGUACCAUAUGAAUAAGGAUCGGCUAACUCCGUGCCAGCAGCCGCGGUAAUACGGAGGAUCCGAGCGUUAUCCGGAUUUAUUGGGUUUAAAGGGAGCGUAGGUGGAUUGUUAAGUCAGUUGUGAAAGUUUGCGGCUCAACCGUAAAAUUGCAGUUGAAACUGGCAGUCUUGAGUACAGUAGAGGUGGGCGGAAUUCGUGGUGUAGCGGUGAAAUGCUUAGAUAUCACGAAGAACUCCGAUUGCGAAGGCAGCUCACUGGACUGCAACUGACACUGAUGCUCGAAAGUGUGGGUAUCAAACAGGAUUAGAUACCCUGGUAGUCCACACAGUAAACGAUGAAUACUCGCUGUUUGCGAUAUAC